UACAGAGGUGGCAAGCGUUGUUCGGAAUUACUGGGCGUAAAGGGCGCGUAGGCGGCCAUCUAAGUCAGACGUGAAAUCCCCCGGCUUAACCUGGGAACUGCGUCUGAUACUGGAAGGCUUGAGUAUGGGAGAGGGAUGUAGAAUUCCAGGUGUAGCGGUGAAAUGCGUAGAUAUCAGGAAGAACACCAAUGGCGAAGGCAGCUCUCUGGGACGGUACUGACACUGAGACGCGAAAGCGUGGGGAGCGAACAGG
rnacentral:rRNA from 1 species